GGGCUGUUAGCUCAACAGGCAGAGCAACGGACUCUUAAUCCGUAGGUUACAGGUUCGAUUCCUGUACAGCCCAUCA
rnacentral:tRNA from 1 species